AUCCUGGUAGUGAUUGCAAGACUUUAACCAGAGCACCCCGCCGUCCUCGGCAGCCAGAGUCCUGGGUUAGAGCUGAAGAAUCUGCUAGAAACUCACACCAAUACAUCACAGGAACGUCUGUCAUUGGAUUUAAGGCCAACUCAUCUCACCCAAGAUGAUUUUCUCAUCUCAAGAUCUUUAACUGAAUUACAUCAGCAAAGAUCCUUUUUCCAAAUAUGGUCACAUUCACAGGUUCCUGGGUUAAGACAUGGGAAUAUCUUUUUGGGGGCCACCAUUCAACCUGCUAUAGUAUUCAUGUAAAUAGACUCUCAGAAAUAGCCCUAAAUCCCCAGCGUAAGUACUAUAAAUUCUAUAUUUGUGUUUCCCAGGGUAAGUUUCUUACACCUAGUUUUGAAGAGUUAUUUUCUAAAAUGAGUUUCAUGGUGAGAUGAUUUUGAUAAUUUCGUAUAGCAAAGUUAAGCGGUAGCAGCUUUUUUUUGGUUUUGCUUGUUUGUUUCUUUACAAUUGGAAUUUCUCAGAACCUUUAAGAAGCUGAUGGACAUUAUGGCUUUUCAGAACUGGGAUAAUGAUGCAUGGUAUUUCCCAGCAUCGGCACCUGCAGGAAGUGGGUCAGAGCCUGCACAGAAGCGAUCACACCAUAGUCACUGGCUUGUGAUCAGCUGAGGCUGAGAGAAUCUGAAGCCGUGCUUGAGAGGUGUCUGUUAUGUUCCUGGACCCGUUAGUGGGAAGACAUCCCAGGAAACAAGUGCUUCAUGGAAGGCUCUUUGAGAAACCAAUUUCAGUGUUAAAUUGCUCUGAUACGUUAUUUCAUUAACGAACUUGCUUUAAUGCUACUUAUGCUUCCUGGUAUCACCACACACUCCCUCAGUUCUGUAUUUGGGGAUCACUGUCAAUCAUCUAGUCUGACAAAAUACA